UACGGAGGAUCCAAGCGUUAUCCGGAAUCAUUGGGUUUAAAGGGUCCGUAGGCGGUCUAAUAAGUCAGUGGUGAAAGCCCAUCGCUUAACGAUGGAACGGCCAUUGAUACUGUUAGACUUGAAUUAUUGGGAAGUAACUAGAAUAUGUAGUGUAGCGGUGAAAUGCUUAGAUAUUACAUGGAAUACCAAUUGCGAAGGCAGGUUACUAUCAAUAUAUUGACGCUGAUGGACGAAAGCGUGGGGAGCGAACAGG
rnacentral:rRNA from 1 species